rnacentral:rRNA from 1 species
GACGAACGCUGGCGGCGUGCUUAACACAUGCAAGUCGAACGGCAAGGCCCUGCUUUUGUGGGGUGCUCGAGUGGCGAACGGGUGAGUAACACGUGAGUAACCUGCCCUUGACUUUGGUAUAACUUCAGGAAACUGGGGCUAAUACCGGAUAGGAGCUCCUGCUGCAUGGUGGGGGUUGGAACGUUUCGGCGGUUGGGGAUGGACUCGCGGCUUAUCAGCUUGUUGGUGGGGUAGUGGCUUACCAAGGCUUUGACGGGUAGCCGGCCUGAGAGGGUGACCGGCCACAUUGGGACUGAGAUACGGCCCAGACUCCUACGGGAGGCAGCAGGGGGGAAUAUUGCACAAUGGGCGGAAGCCUGAUGCAGCAACGCCGCGUGCGGGAUGACGGCCUUCGGGGUGUAAACCGCUUUCGCCUGUGACGAAGCGUGAGUGACGGUAAUGGGUAAAGAAGCACCGGCUAACUACGUG